rnacentral:lncRNA from 1 species
UGGGAUUAGGGAUGGACACAUCGUUGUGUCAUGGAGCUGCUAUUAGUCAGCAGAAUACGGGUGUCUAGCGUUUUGUAUAAAGAGCAAACCACCCCACUGUCGUGUUUGUGCCAGUAUCCCUCUGCACAUGCACAUAAAGACACCUACUCAUCUCAUCAGACGAACUGUCUCAGAGUAUCACCAGAACUCCAGCAUGGCUCUCUCUAAGACUCAGCAGACAUUUAUGGAUGUAGCUAUUCCAUCUCUCAAAAGAGGAGUAAUUUCAUUCAAUGAACUUGCAUGCAAACUCCUCGUUACCAAUGUCUCAUACAUUCUUAAAACUCAAGUCAUGUUUGAAGAACUCCGUAAUAUAAUAGAGGCAUCUCAGAAAAGCAUUGGGCAGUCAGAGAGGGCAGCUAGCAGUGAACUGUACAAGAUAGACACACAUUAUGAGGAGCUCACAGUCCAAAAGGGAGUCCUUGAAAAAAAGAAAAGAGAGAGAAAAACAGAGAGAGAGAGCUUGACCGUACAAUUAAGCCAGUGCAGGGAAACGUUAAAUGCGUACUCCAAUUCUUUGGAACGGGCCAAGAGGCUAGCUCGUGACGCACAACACCGGCUUCAGAGCGAAGAACACAAAAUGAGGGAGUCACAGACACUAAGAGAUGCUGGUUAUGGACUAUUGGCCGUCCCUAUAGUUGGGUGGAUAGCAGGGCCAAUCAUGAUUGAUGCUGGUAUCAAAGACUAUGACAACGCAUCCUACGCGGCAAGACAAGCCACCAACGUGGUGCAAAGCGCUGAGAGAGAUGUAGCCAAUUUUUCCUCAAAGGUGUCCCAGUGUACUUCCAACAUUGAGAACAUGAAUAGAAAAAUCAAAAACUUUUAUUGGGAUAUAGAGGGGGUUGACCGCAAGAUCUCAGACAUCAAACAGCAGCGCACUGUGAUGGCUGAUAUUCAGGUUAAGAUGAGGAGUUGCGUUACUCUUUUGGGCAGCUUGGCCAAAAGCACUAACGCGGCCGAGCUCGAAACACGCCACAUCAUUGUCCUGGGGUCGCUGAUGAAAAUCCUGCAGCAUGUGUUUGUACUUUCCGUUAAGUUGCUCGGAGCCAGUUUCUACAAUGAUGCGGAGCUGAAAGGUCUCAUCAUGACUCUGCAGAAGAAUCAGCACAAACUUCAAGCGCUUCCUAAUGCAAAUAAGAAUGACUCUCUAGAUGAUUUCUCUUGAGUUUUUCUUACUUUCUCACAUACAUUUGCCUCUCGAGUUUUGCCUGCAAGCUUAUAAUGUGUGUCUGUAAUGUUUGGCACAGCUAAUGUAUGGGUCGGUUGCCUUUUGCUGUUGAAAAGGUGUCAUUUUUUCUCAUCUAUUUUUUAACACCAUUAAAGAGCAAUAACUAAUAGGCUCUUGCAGUAAAUUGGGAAUAUGAAUGAAAGUAUUGUAUGUAAAAUACCUACAUAUAUAGCAUUGCAUUAAAAAUAAAUGAUAUUUGAGAAUGAACA